CUGAAUUGCAGAUUGCAGACGGAAAUGCUUAUUUGAUGACUUGUGGUCAUUGAGAUGAGACACGUUUCAGUAUAACUGACAGAUGUAACUUGUCCUUCAUCUCUAACCUCGGAGUACAUGGGUGCCCCAACCAAGAGGUCUGAUAGGCCAUCAGUGUUCAGAUCAACUGCACAUAAGGAGGAGCCAAAAGACACCCGACAAGACACUGGUGCCACUCAUGAGGGGUUGACAGAUCCACUUGAACCAAAAAGGAGAUACUUGCCUAAAUAUGUGUAACCUUUAG